GGGUUGGGGGAGUAAAAGAUUGGAAAGAGAAACGUAUUUUCUGUUUAUUAAACAUUUUCAAUUUAGGUAAUAUAACAUCUUCCUCGGUUCAUCUUUCUCUAAGCAUAUCAAUGAGGGAAAGAAAUUCAAAAGCAAUCAAUCCAAACUCAAUAACCCUUUCAGUUAUGAUAUUUUUAUCCAUACACCGAUUUGAAAGUACACAAUUUGUCAAAG
rnacentral:lncRNA from 1 species